GAUGAACGCUGGCGGCGUGCCUAAUACAUGCAAGUCGAGCGAACAGACGAGGAGCUUGCUCCUCUGACGUUAGCGGCGGACGGGUGAGUAACACGUGGAUAACCUACCUAUAAGACUGGGAUAACUUCGGGAAACCGGAGCUAAUACCGGAUAACAUGUUGAACCGCAUGGUUCAACAGUGAAAGACGGUUUUGCUGUCACUUAUAGAUGGAUCCGCGUCGCAUUAGCUAGUUGGUAAGGUAACGGCUUACCAAGGCAACGAUGCGUAGCCGACCUGAGAGGGUGAUAGGCCACACUGGAACUGAGACACGGUCCAGACUCCUACGGGAGGCAGCAGUAGGGAAUCUUCCGCAAUGGGCGAAAGCAUGACGGAGCAACGCCGCGUGAGUGAAGAAGGUCUUCGGAUCGUAAAACUCUGUUAUUAGGGAAGAACAAAUGUGUAAGUAACUAUGCACGUCUUGACGGUACCUAAUCAGAAAGCCACGGCUAACUACGUG
rnacentral:rRNA from 1 species